GACAGACAGACAGACAGUUGGUAGGAGAUAGUGUCUAGAUACCGCAGGGUGGACCGACAGACAGACAGACAGACAGACAGACAGUCGGUAGGAGAUAGUGUCUAGAUACCGCAGGGUGGACAGACAGACAGUUGGUAGGAGAUAGUGUCUAGAUACCACAGGGUGGACAGACAGACAGACAGACAGGCAGUUGGUAGGAGAUAGUGUCUAGAUACCGCAGGGUGGACAGACAGACAGACAGACAGUUGGUAGGAGAUAGUGUCUAGAUAGCGCAGGGCCACAGGGUGGACAGACAGACAGACAGACAGUUGGUAGGAGAUAGUGUCUAGAUACCGCAUGGGUGGACAGACAUACAGACAGACAGUUGGUAGGAGAUAGUGUCUAGAUACCACAGGGCCACAGGGUGCACAGACAGACAGUUGGUAGGAAAUAAAUAGACAGUGCCAGACAGACAGUUGGUAGGAAAUAGAUAGACAGUGCCUAGAUACCUUCCUCUAAAGCCAGGAACACAUUUAGAAUGAGUCCCAAACGGCACCCUAUUCUCAUAGGGUCCUGGUCAAAGUAGUGCACUAUAAACUGAAUAGGCUGCCAUUUGGGAUGCAUACUUAGCCUUUUUUUUUUUUUUAAGUUUCUGUCAAAUCUGAGGUGUGUCAAUUUGGGAUUUAUCUCACCACUUGAGGUUUGAAAACGUCUGACAAUCGUAGAUGUUUGUGAAGCACUACUUUGAGACAUGGGUGUUACUAACAUUUGAUACAGGAUCAAAGUUGAAAUGUACCUGCAGGAAAUCAACUGUAUAUGUUUCUAAUAUAUGAGAAAGGAAGUCAAACUCAAUAGGACUUUUCUAUUGAGAGAAUGAGUCGAUAGAUUAUUUAUUAUUAUUAGCUUAUCAGCACCGUGUACUCUCACUGAGGACCUAUAAGAAGCAGUUUCACCUUUGUCCCGCCCCCUUCUCACCAGUCACACACCUUUUCUCGUAUGAUUGACACUGCAGCUAUCCACUCCCAACACUCCAUCCACAACGUUAAAGCCCAACACUAAUUACAAGAGGACUGGGGUCCGUUCAAGAGGGGGCGAUGUUCUGACAAAAUGUUUCUGAUUUAGAAAUGAGACGAGUGGACAUGAUUCUGUCCCAGAGGCCAGUCUAUUCUACACAAGGUAGAAGUAUUCAUUAGGUACUGAACGGAAGAACAACAGACUGCAACGGGAAGAGACUACCUGGACUCCAAUAAGAAGCGUUUUUUUAAACGUUUUUAAAAACGUUUUCAGUUGCAUGUCCUAAUGAGUGCAACCCUGUCAACUAACGUGUCCAUUUGUUACAAUGCUGCGUUGUCAGGUAUGCAAUGUCAAUGCUCCUCUCAAACCUAAAGGGUUGAAUGAAUGUGUUGUCAGGUAUGUCAUGUCAAUGCUGUGUUGUCAGGUAUGCAAUGUCAAUGCUCCUAUCAAACCUAAAGGGUUGAAUGAAUGUGUUGUCAAGUAUGUCAUGUCAAUGCUCCUAUCAAACCUAAAGGGUUGAAUGAAUGUGUUGUCAGGUAUGUCAUGUCAAUGCUGUGUUGUCAGGUAUGCAAUGUCAAUGCUCCUAUCAAACCUAAAGGGUUGAAUGAAUGUGUUGUCAAGUAUGUCAUGUCAAUGCUCCUAUCAAACCUAAAGGGUUGAAUGAAUGUGUUGUCAGGUAUGUCAUGUCAAUGCUCCUAUCAAACCUAAAGGGUUGAAUGAAUGUGUUGUCAGGUAUGUCAUGUCAAUGCUCCUAUCAAACCUAAAGGGUUGAAUGAAUGUGUUGUCAGGUAUGCAAUGUCAAUGCUCCUCUCAAACCUAAAGGGUUGAAUGAAUGUGUUGUCCCAUAGCAAUACAAUGCUGUGUUGUCAGGUAUGCAAUGUCAAUGCUCCUCUCAAACCUAAAGGGUUGAAUGAAUGUGUUGUCAGGUAUGUCAUGUCAAUGCUCCUCUCAAACCUAAAUGGUUGAAUGAAUGUGUUGUCAGGUAUGUCAUGUCAAUGCUCCUAUCAAACCUAAAGGGUUGAAUGAAUGUGUUGUCCCAUAGCGUGUUGCUGUAGAAGGUGAUUUGACCCAUCUGUUGUUGUCUGAAAGCUUCUAAUGGGGAAGGUUGUUUGGUAACACGUUACGUAAGAGCCAACUGGUAUAAUGCCUUAUAACUUGUUAUAAGCAUGUCUGCACCUUUUAUAAAAGUGUCACAGGCA